rnacentral:rRNA from 1 species
UACGAAGGGGGCUAGCGUUGCUCGGAAUUACUGGGCGUAAAGCGCACGUAGGCGGCUUUCUAAGUCGGGGGUGAAAUCCUGGAGCUCAACUCCAGAACUGCCUUCGAUACUGGAGAGCUUGAGUCCGGGAGGAGGUGAGUGGAACUGCGAGUGUAGAGGUGAAAUUCGGUAGAAUAUUCGCAAGAACACCAGUGGCGAAAGGCGGCCUCAGCUGGCC